ensembl:lncRNA
GUGGGUAGGGGUUAGAUUAGAGUAGUAUGUUGGUAGGGAUUAGAUUAGAGUGGUAUGUGGGUAGGGAUUAGAUUAGAGUGGUAUGUGGGUAGGGUUUAGAUUCGAGUGGUAUGUGGGUAUGGUUUAGGUUAGAGUGGUAUGUAGGUAGGUUUUAGAUUAGAGUGGUAUGUGGGUAUGGUUUAGGUUAGAGUGGUAUGUGGGUAGAGGUUAGAUUAGAGUGGUAUCUGUGUAGGGGUUAGAUUAGAGUGUUAUGUGGGUAGGAUUUGGAUUCUAGUGGUAUCUGGGUAGAGGUUCGAUUAGAGUGGUAUGUGGGUAGGUAUUAGAGUGGUGUGUGGAUAGGGGUUAGAUUAGAGUGGUAUGUGGGCAGAGAUUAGAGUGGUAUCUGGGUAAGAUUUAGAUUGGAGUGGUAUGUAGGUAGGGAUUAGGUUGGAGUGGUAUGUGGGUAGGGGUUAGAUUAGAGUGGUAUGUGGGUAGGGGUUAGAUUAGAGUGGUAUCUGGGUAGGGGUUAGAUUAGAGUGGUAUGUGGGUAGAGAUUAGAGUGGUAUCUGGGUAGGAUUUAGAUUAGUUUUAUGUGGGUAGGGUUUAGAUUAGGGUGGU